rnacentral:rRNA from 1 species
AUUGAACGCUGGCGGCAUGCUUUACACAUGCAAGUCGGACGAGUGGCGAACGGGUGAGUAACGCAUCGGCACGUACCGAGUCCUGGGAGAUAACUGUGCGAACGGAUAGCUAAUACCGCAUAUUAUUCGAUCGGCCGAUGUCUGAUUAGCUGGUUGGCGGGGUAAAGGCCCACCUAGGCGACGAUCCCUAGCUGGUCUGAGAGGAUGACCGGCCACACUGGGACUGAGACACGGUCCAGACUCCUACGGGAGGCAGCAGUGGGGAAUAUUGCGCAAUGGGCGAAAGCCUGAUGCAGCCAUGCCGCGUGUGUGAAGAAGGCCUUCGGAUUGUAAAGCUCUUUCAUCGGGGAGGCGUUACCCGAACAGGAAGCACCGGCUAACUACGUGCCAGCAGCCGCGGUAAUAC